UGAACUGAACGAAUUUCUUAUUUAUAUAUAGAAAUUCACGUGACAGUGUGUCAUGCUAGAUGAAGGGACUAAAAAACAUGUGCGCAGUGCUAUCACAAGUGGAAAUGGACUCUUUGUUCUAUUGAGACUGUAAAAACCACACCAAAUAUUGUGUGCAGUUGUCGGACCCAAAGAGGACAAACUACCAAGCUUGAUGAAGAAUUCAUUUUUGGUCUACCAUUGAAUCUGGAUGUUGUGGGGUGCAACUUAAGGGUCCAGCUAUAGACACAGUCCUUGCAUUAAUGUAAUAUUUUCUUCAAAUUGGACAAGUGAUUGACCAAAUGCACAGUUUCAAAGGCUUUGAAAUAUUUCAUAUUAUUGGGCCUUUGCUUAGCAACACAAUCAGUGUGAUAUGUUUUUGUUCUAUAAAAAACAAGUAAUGGCAACAAACCAUUCGUUCCUCAAUCCAUCGUCAGCGGCAUCACUCCUUCAACCUACACAGUAACUUGAACAUGAUCGAAGGAAUGUGCAGCUUCAGCCUAUCCUUGGGAAAUAAACCUAAAUUGAAAGAGCAUAUGCAAUAAUGUGUUGGUCAUGCUGAGGAGAUUAAAAAGCUUGCUAAAGUUCACACUCAGGUUUUUGAACAUCUCUGUCUUCAAGUCAUUAAUUUUUCAAGUUUCAUGGUCCUCGCCCUGUCAGACGGUACAAACGAGGGACAAUCUUUUUGUUUUCAUUUUGCUUUUACUGCAACUUUUUUGCUUGCUUCUUG